AUGCAUCAUCCAGUCAGUCUUGAUCCCUUUUGCUGCUCUCCCUUUAUAAAAGACAAGAGACUUCUUCAGGCCUAUGCACUUGGUUCCCUCGGAGGAGUAAAUGGGCCUAUCUGUUCCUGUUGCUUUCCAGAAUCCAGCUCCUGUGACUCUGUUUGGUCUAGCACUAUUACGUUUCCCAAAAGUAAGGAGGCUAUGAGUUUAUCUUCCAUGCAUUCGGCAGAAGCAAGAUGGAAUUUAUCAACCCAGAAAAAAAUACAGAGAUGGCUUGAUGGACCUAAAUAUAUGGGAAAGAAGAAUGAAUAG
rnacentral:rRNA from 1 species